AAAAAAGUCAGAUUGCUGUGUUUAGACACAAGCUGAAAUUCUGCAGAUAAGACAGAACCUAUAAAAAGGGAGAGAUUAAUUAAUUACUCAGAGGAGGUGGAUGAAUGACAGAGCAAACUCCUUGUGAGGCUAAGCGAGAACAGAGUGCAGAGCCCUUUGAAAGCAGGUGGGAUCGGACAGGUCGAAGUCUCCAUCACUCCUGGAGCAGGACGGAGGCCAGAAAGCGUUUGUGCAGGAAAUUGGCCUUAAAGCUGGACUUGAAAGACUCCAAAAUGGCAAAGCAAGACUUUAGAGGCAGGCUGGAUCCCUGAGUCACCACCAGGAGCACAGCCGCCAGGAAAACCACUCAAUCUCCUCCAGGCUUAGAUCAUUUGACUUCCUGACCUUCCUCAGCAGAAAAGACUAUAGACUGAUUAUACGCUAAGAGUAGAAGUAUUUCCUUUUAUUUGUUUUAAAUUUUCCCACUGUUAAUUUCAUUGAGUGCAUACUUGUUCUCAUAUUAUGAAAUGAGGUAAAGAAGGAAUAAAAGAGAAGAAUCAUUUUUACUACUCCUAUGAAAUGCGAAAAUUGUUCUUCUUGUCUCCCAAUGCUUCCAAGGCUGUUCACUUUGUUAUCGCACCAUCCAGAGGUCCUACUCUGCAUUUACAUCAACCUGUAGGUGCAUGGUUCACCUUAUAACCCAAGAUCCUUUCCCAGUUGCUGCCCUGUACUCUGUGCAAACAUCCCCUCACUAUUGUCCAAAGCAACUUCUUUGUUCUAGCUAACCCAAAACGGCAAAAAUGUUUCACUUCAAGGGCUGGUUUCCAUCUGUGGCAGUGGCCACCUAAGUAUUGUCUUAGGGAAGAUUAUGUGGCCGUGUAAGGACUCAGUAGGAAAAGUGUUGUGAGAGAUUAGCAAUCUAUUGGGGUUAGGGGUUGUAUGUACAGCAGAACCUCAACAAAACACUGUCAGACAAACACCACUACAUCUGCUAUGCCAACUCCUGCCUCAAUAGCACUAUGUGAGCUUCCCAUGUUCACAUAACCAGAAUUCCAUCCAGAUUCCAUUAUCCAGAAUUCCCUCCAAAUUCCAUUUCACCAAUCCACAUCUGAUACUUUCUAAGCUUCUAGAAAGAUCUUUCUAACACUCUGUGCUGAUCACUGGCUGGCAAAAUUCAUUCUGGAAUUUACUCUAAAGUUGAAAAUCAUAAUCACUGGCUAACAAGAAUCAUUUUAUAAUUUACUCUAAAACUGAAAGAAUUGCCCCAGAUGGAUGGCAGCUUUGGCUGACAACACCUAAAUCUUACCUAGCCAGAAUUUGGAAAGGCUCUAGAGAUUCAGGGUGAAAAGCCUUUUGAACCAUUGAUUCAUGCUCUCCUUGUAAAGAAGGAUGAUUGCCCUUCUACUUUAUAUGUUAAGAGAAUUAGACUUGGUGAUCUUUAAAACGCACCAGAAGCUGGACUUCUUUGCAAAGAACCACGGUGCUUUACCUCAGACCUCGUCUUCUGCUAUUUCCCCUCUCGGUCACUCUGUUCAGACCCUUCACCCCAUUUGGGGCCUCUGCCAAGGCAGAUCUCUCUACUCUUCUCCCAGAUAUCCAUGAGCCUCAUUUUCACUUUUUUCCACUUUGCUCACAUGUUUCCUUCUCAGUGAGGCCCACCUUGCUCAGCCCAACCACACAUGGACUCUGUUGCCUCUUAUGAUGCUCAACAUGUUAAAAUUUUGUUCAUAGCUCUUGUCACUUUCCAACCUAGUCCAUAAUUUGCUUAUUUUUUAUGGGUAUUACUUAGUAUCUCUGUCCUCUAGAAGGUGAGCUUUAUGAGAGCAGAGAUCUCAGAGAUCUCUUAUCUAGUUUUUACUAACAAGAAGAGUAACUAACUACUAACUCUUCUGCCAACUAACUAGAAAAGUAUCAGAAACACAGUAGACACUCAGUAAAUAUGUGUUACAUUGAACAAACUUAACUCAUCCAUUUCUGUCCAUUAUUAACUCUAGAGUUUUUCCGGUUCACUCACAGUCAGACUGAAUGUUUGUAUUCUUCUCAUUUGUAGUUAAAUCCACUUUACACAUGGACUGUGUAUAUAUUUGAAAUAUAUAAGGAAAUUUCUCUAAAAAUGCUUCCAAGAAGGACUGGGUAUCAUAUUGGUACAAUAUGUCUUUCGGGUGUCAGAUAUGAACUUAUAUUUUCUCAAAUACUCCAUUUUCCCUUGUUUUCCACAAAAGUUGAUGCUCUUGAUCUACUGAAAUCCUAACACCACAAAUGAAGAUAUACAAUAUCUCGUUGCAAAAAGUGAAUGAGAAGGAGAGGGGCAAGCAGGAGCAGGAAAGAAAUAGAGGAUAGCAUUUCCGCAAUUCUCCUUCCACAGAGAGCAGUGAAUUGAACAUGAGGCAAGAAGGUCAUGGAGUUAGGAGUAUGAAUUUCAUCAGAUUGCCUGAAUUGCAACAAGAUUUCAACAAAAAUUAGAAGGCAAAAGGAGAAAAAGAAAAUUUUACAUUUAUAUCAUACCUUUUCAUAUCCAAGUAAUUAAAACUCCUGCUAUUAGAU